GCUUUUAGGCUGCCUCCCCACCCCCCAUCCCCAAGGUGAUCUUGUCUGAGCUUGGAAGCUAAGCAAGGUCAGGCCUGGUUAGCACUUGGAUGGGAGACUGCCUGGGAAUAUCAGGAGCUGAAGUCU
rnacentral:rRNA from 1 species